rnacentral:tRNA from 1 species
GAGGGUACAGCUCAGUGGUAGAACAUGCGCUGAGAAUGCAUGAGGUCCUGGGUUCAAAUCCCAGCACCUUUA